AAGUCUUCUAAGUCUUUGUGAUGCAUUCGUAGGUGUGUGAGUGUGAGCGUGGAUGUGAGAGAGGUGCAAGAACUAGUUGAAGACAGUAGUAGGCAGCUCUCCUCUGGCAGGUGCAUUCUAGGUGAUUUUGUAAUUGUAUAUGCAUCCAAGGUAUAUACAGUCCGGCCAUGGUGCUACAUUGCAAUCAUCCAUAUGUGAUUGCAUUGUGUAUAUAUAUACAUGGUGGCCUUUGAUAGACCAUCAUAUAUCGGUUGGUUAUGUGCAUGUAUGUAUAUACCAGCUGCUACUAGCUUUGAUCGAUCGCCAUGUAGCGAUUGAAUUCACCAAAACGGCCUGCCAAAGGAGAGUUGCCCUGCGACUGUCUUUAACUCGAAUAAUUUAGAUAGUGUUUUGUUUAGGAGUUUAGCCCCUGCCGGUUCAUAUUGAUCUCCAAGUCCAAGGUACGUUUGAUUUUGUCAGAAUGGA
rnacentral:precursor_RNA from 1 species